UUUUUUUUUUUUUUUUGGGGGGGGGGAGGGGGCUGCAUGAGGGUUGGUUUCUGUCUUGCCUCAAUCUAAAUGCUGACAGGAAUGGGCACCAGUUUGGAGGUCCCUACUAAGAAAGGAUAUUACCAUGGCUUGGUCUAGCACCAGAGUGUUUGCUGAGAGUUACUACAGAGAGACACUAGGGGAAGUUCUAGGACCAUGACUUGUUAUAACACCGGAAAUGCUUCAGUACUCUAGUACCCCAGGGAGUGGAAGGAGACACACCCGAGCAACUAGGAGAUUACAUGCCCAAGCCCAGAGAAAAUGUGUCACUAGAAUAGGCUUGAGAAGUCUCCAGAAUUUCUAGCCAGGCUGAUUGGUGAUGACACACAGAGAAAACAAUGUGGAAUCAAAGACAGAGAUUGGAGGGAUGUUUCUAGGACCAAAAAAUCACUGGCAACCACUAUAUGUUGGAAGAGAUGAGGAAUGGAUUCUCCCCAAGAGUCUCCUCAGGGAGUAUGGCCACACUAGCACCUUGAUUUCAGCCCAGUAAUACUGAUUUCUUCUGGGCUUCAGAAAUAUAAGAAAAUAAAGUUAAAUUGUUUUAAGCCAAGCUGUUUGUGCAGUAAUUUGUUACAGCAGCCACAGGAAAAUAAUACAAUUACUAACUUCAUAUGGAUAUCAGUUGUGCUUUGAAUGAAAACACACAAAUAAAACCCAUGGAAUGAUUGAAGCCUACUGAGUUAAAAAAAAAAAAAAAAGAACUGGGAAAGAAAGAAAUUAAGAAUUAAGGACUCAAGAGAUAUGGUUAGCAUCUGAGAAAGUAAUUUGGUUAUAGUUUUAAGUGUACAGUAAUUUGCAUAUGGCUAAAGGAAAAUUAAUUUCCAGGGUUUUUAUACUGUCAUGCGUAAACACUCAAUUAUUAAAAAAAAAUCCAUAAGUACAACACAUGAAGUAAUUGAAGUGAAUGGAUAAUUAAUACACUUUAAAAAUUUACUAAAAUUAUUGUUAUGUACCUAACAACAUGAGUCAUUUAUGGUCUCUGAAGGUUUAAUUUAAUUAAUUAAUUAACUUGUUUGCUUAUAUUUGUUUUUGAAAUGAAGAGACAGUAUGAAAGAAGUUGCUAAAAGGAUGUCUAUAAAUACAUAUUACAUAUAAUAUUGCAAUUUUUAAAAGAGAUUAAAGUAUAAUACUUGAGAGCAUAGGGUUUGGGACUAAAAUGCCACUGUUUAAAUCCUGGUUCCAUUAUUUAUCAGUUAGGUGACCUUGGGUAUAUUAUUUUACCUUUCUGUGUCAUGAUUAUUCAGUCUGUAAACUAGUGACUCAAAUAGUCUUCACUGGGUUGCUCUGUGAAUUAAAUGGAUUGAUAUUUAUGUAUUAUUUAGAACUGUACCAGGCAUUUAGUUCUUUUAAAAUGCUUGAUAAUAUGAGAUGCCUGGUUAGCUCAGUCAGUAGAGCAUGUAACUUUUGAUCUUGGGCUGCAAGUUCAAAUCCCAUGUAGGGUGCAGAGUUAUUUUAAAAAAUAAAAUCUUCAAAAGUACUGAUUUGAAGUACUCAUCACUCUGGGCAUAAGCUAAAUUUAUGAUCCUUAAGAUGUUGGUAAUUUUAAGAAGUUUUGCCAAUCUUAUAAUUGGCAGUCUGCUCAGACUAUUACGACAAAAAUACCAUAGACUAGGUGGCUUAAACAAUAAACAUUUAUUUCUCACAGAUGUGGAAGCUAGGAAGUCAAAGAUUGAGGUGCUAGAAGAUUCAAUGUCCUAGGAGAGUCUGUGUAUUGGUGCCCUGGACAACUAUCUUCUUCUGUGUCCUCACAUAGUAGAAGGGGUGAAGGAGCUCUUUAGGGUCUCACUUAUAAGAGCACUAAUCCCACUCAUGGGUUUAGCUGUGAGUGGAUAAGGUGCUCCACCCUCAUGAUCUAAUUACCCAAAAGCCACAUUUCCAAAUACCAUCACAUUGGCAAUUAGGUUUCAACACACGAAUUUUGAGGGACACAAACCUUUAGUCUAUAGUAAUAAAAAACUGCUAAUUCUGGAAAACUAAAAGAAAAAUAGGUACUACCAUGUUAACAAUUCCUAUUGGGAGUGAGAUGUUUCAAAUGCAUUAACAUAGAAAACAAAUAUUUAAAAGAGGAUGGAGGAGUACCUGGCUGGCUCAGUCAGUAGAGCAUACGAGACGAUCUUGGGUCAUAAGUUUGAGCUCCAUUUUGGGAGUAGAAACCACUUAGAAAUAAAAUCUUUAAAAAAUAAUAAAAGAGGGGCAUCCUGUGUGGCUCAGUGGUUCAGUGCCACCUUCAGCCCAGGGUCUGAUCCUGGAGACCCAGGAUAGAGUCCCACGUUGGGCUCCCUGCAUGGAGCCUGCUUCUCCCUUCUGCCUAUCCCUCUCUCUCUCUCUCUCUCUCUGUCUCUGUGUGUGUGUGGCUCAUGAAUAAAUAAAUAAAAUCUUAACAAAAUUUAAAAAAAUAAAAAAAAAUAAUAAAAGAAACAGACAUCAGGUUAUGUAUGCCUCUGAAUGGUGUUGGAGAACAAUGGCUGAAUUAUUCUGGAGGUCUCCUUUCUUUGAAAUUCAUAGACAGGGGCAUCUGUGUGGCUCAGUCAGUUAAGCAUCUGCCUUCAGCUCAGGCCAUGAUCUAUUCUGGGAUCAAGCCUUAUGUAGGGCUCCUUGUUUAGCAAGGAGCCUACUUUUCCCUCUGCCCCUCUCUGUCUUUCUUCUGCCCCUCUUUUUGCUCCUGCAUGUGCUAUCUUUCAAAUAAAAUCUUUAGAAUGUAUAUGGUCAACUUUACUUUUCUUGAGACAUGUUAUCUUUGUAAAUGGCAAGGCACUGGAAGAGCUUACAGCUUUCUUUUACAUCAGUCUAUUUAGAUGACUUUUUUUUACAACAAACAUUUCUGAAUAGACCAUGGAAUCUGUUAUUUAUUCAUUUUAACAAUUCUUCUUUUUGAAAAGUAUCUUAUCUCUAAAUUUUAUGUAUACUUUUCCGUAAUCCCUGUAAUCAAUAUGACUAACAGAAAUUUUCAAGAAUUUGAUUUAUUGUACAAAGCGAAUUAGUCUGAUGAAUCAUUCAUUGUAUAUUCUUUUUAUUCCAUCUCAUCCUUUAGUCAUCAUUAAAUGAUAGACAUUAUGGUUUUAGCAACUGCUAUAUUGGCUAACUUAACUGUGGCUUUGUUACUGCAAAUGCCAGAUAUGCCUGAUUAUGCACAGAAACUCUUGCCAAUGAAAAGUGGCAUUAAUUUUUCAAUCUCUGAACAACUAAGUAAAUCACUGUGUUCAGUAAUUUAAAAAAAAAAUGUUUACUCUUCCAAAAUCAAAGGGUUUGGAUCAAAAGUGAAAACUAAACAUUCAAGUGAUGAGAAACACAUAUAUUCCUUGUUACCAGGACAUGUAUUUGCAUUCCCAAAUUAAAUGCUAUUUGCUUUAUGUGGAUUGUCCUCUCUCAUUGCCUUAAUUUACUAAGAUCCUCCCUAUAUUUCAGGACUCAGCUAGCAGCCAUCAUCACCAUCAAUAUUUUCCAAUCACUUUCACUCAAAAGGAGCUUUAUUAUCUGAAUCACUUGCACAUGACAUCACAGGAAUUUUGAAGCUAAAACAGAACUUAAAAGCACGUAGAUAUAACUUUAUAUGAGAAGAACCCAGGUCCCAGAGGGGGUAAGUAACCUCUCCAUUACAACAAUAUGCUUAGCACACACACAAAAAAGUAAAAUACCUGACUGUAAUCUAUUAUUAAAAUAGUAGUUUCUUCUUCAGAGCCCAUGGAAAUCAAUCAGUUGCCACCACAGAGGUCAAUGGUGUUUUUGAAUGAUCAGGGCCUAACCCUUCACCCCCACAUGAUACUUCAAUCUAAUUUCAACCAGUAGAGGGAUCAUUUUAAAUUGUAUUAUAUACAUUUCUUUCAUUUAGAAGAAAUUUGUUUAAAAAUAAACUGCAACAUUAAAACUUUGCUCUUUCCAUAUAUUUUUACAUUGUUUUGCUAUCUAUUCAUCUAUCAUCUCCAUAUCUAUCCAUCCAUCCAUAUGAGUAGAUCCUUGUUAACACAACUUUGAUUUUAUUGUCCUUGAAGGGGAUAAUUAUACCUUAUAUAAUCCCUGAUCCCCCAGUUUAUUCACAACUGCCUAAACUAUGUAUUCAGUAUGAUUUCUGAUACUAAUGAUAAUGAGAGUAAUAAAGUCAGUUGAAGUGGAAAUUGUAUGUAAUUUUAUAUGUAUCAACAGUUUGACAUAACUGACAUCAACAUUAAUUAAUGAAAUUAAUGAUUCAUUAAAUGAAAUAAAAUAUCAGAGAAACAUGUUUUUAUCCAGCAGGGUACAAUGAACAUACGCACAACCAUAUUAAAGCAGUUUAGGAUCACAUAAAUAAAUAACUUUCCAACAGUUUACCUAUCCUGCUUUAAUUUAUAUCUCUAGAAAUUAAACAUAAUGAUAAUGAAAAUUCAAAUCUAUGGGUAUUGAAAUAAAAGCAAAUUUAUAAGAUAGCCUUUUAAAAAAAAUGGAAUAUUUGGUAUCUGACAAUGUGCUAUAGCAAAGGGACUAACAGUUGCAAUAGCUUAUACAAGAUCUAUGUGUUUAUCUCAUAUGAUAAUGAAGAAAUAGGUUAUUAGUUCAGUGAUAAUGGGUAGCAGUUUCAUUCUCCUCACAUGACUUUUAUCUCUGUAUCCAUGGCUCUUCCAGGUCCUGACAUAAUUUUUGUACCCCAGCAAGUGCAGAAGGGAUAGCACAAGGCCUAUUUAACCACGUUCCUCUAAGAGCAUGUAGAAUCAGAUUCCAAAGCCUAGUCAGAUUCCAAGGACCCCUUACUUAGAAGGCUCUCAUGCUUGGUUUAAUGCAUCACUAUCACCAUCUUGAAACUCUUAAUAAUUUUUAGCAAGAUCCCCGCAUGUUCACUCUUCAUUGAACCCUGCAAAUUAUGUAGCUGACCCUGAGAGAAUGACCCAAGCAUACAUUCCUUCUUUUCACCUUUUAUUUGCCAGAAUUUGGCUAUAUGACCAUAACUUGUUAUAAGAAUACUAAGGAAUGUAAUAUUUUGCUGGUAGCCAAUGCCGGCUAAAACUCAGGAGUUCUAAUAUUAAAAGAAGGAAGUAAAGAGGGCAUUUUGGUGGCUCAGUGGUUGAGCAUCUUCCUUUGGCUCAGGUCAUGAUACUGGGGCCCUGGAAUUGAGUCCCUCAUGAGGUUCCCUGCAAGGAGCCUGCUUCUCCUUCUGCCUAUAUCUCUGCCUCUCUCUGUGUCUCUAAUGAAUAAAUAAAUAAAAUCUUAAAAAAAAAUGUAAAGAAUAUAAACUUAGGCACAAUUUCCAUGUUUUCCAUUGUUUUAUUCCCAGAACCUAGCAAUACUAUAGGCACAUGGUGGAUGCUUGGUAUAUUUUGUCGUGGUUGUUGUCAGCUAAAUGAAUAUAUAUUUUAAUAACUGAGUAAACAGAACUGAACAAACUAAAAUCUUUCCAUUUUAGGUAGAUGUAUGUCCCCAAAGCCAUUAGGAAAAUAAGACUGCACCAAACUGGUAAUAUUCAAUAUUAGGUAAGCAUUUCCAAAGAUUAGAAAACAUUUAAAAAAUCUUAGAUACAUGGGAUGCCUGGGUGGCUCAACAGUUGAGCAUCAGCCUUUGGCUCAGGGCAUGACCCUGUAAUCCCAGGAUCGAGUUCUACAUCAGGCUUCCUGCGUGGAGCCUGCUUCUCCCUCUGCCUUUGUCUCUGCCUCUCUCUCUCUCUCUCUCUGUCUCUCAUAAAUAAAUAAAUAAAAUCUUUUAAAAAAGGUCCUUGAUACACAAUAGGCAAAAUUAGGUUGGUAGUAGUCCUGCAGAAUUCUAUUUUCAUGAAUAUAAAUCAUAUUUGAUCAAACCACACAUUACAGAGGUACAAAAUCUCAUAUUCUCCAAUCACUGAGUGUAUCAAAUCACCCUUGGAAAACAGUCUUAUUCAGGCACAGUUUGAUGUCAUAAUUUACUUUCUGUAACCACUUUAACUAAGAGUAAUAUAUUUUUUUUAAAAAACAGUGUUAGAACAGUUCCAUGUAAUACUAUGUACCUGAAUGAUAGGCCAAUUCUUGUGAAAGUAACAUAAACACAAAAUUAUAGCAAUAUUGAAUCCUUUAGUAGAGAGCAAAACAAGUUUACUGCCAAAAUAAUCACUAUGUUUUAUGUUAUUACAACAGCAUAAGGUAACUGAUGGUCAUUUUGAUUACUCACCAUACUUUUAUAAGGAAUUUUGAAAAAGCUCAAUGAAAAGAAUUACGGCAAAAUAGUUUGAGGCCAUAAAAGAGGUGGAAGGUUUGCAUUUCUGGAAAAUAUUCUUGUAAAUUCUAAAAGCAUUUCUUAUAUUUUGUAAAUUGUAAAUUUUGUGCCAUUACUAUAAAAACACAUUAGAUAUUCAACUGGAGGAUCCAUUGGAGAAAAAGUAAUGCACAGACAGCAUUAUUGUAGUAAGAUGAAGGCUGAGCAAUAAUUUUUAAAAGGCCUAAAAUGGAAUAACUCAAACAAGAGAGUAAUUUAUUUUUCUCUUCCAUAAUAUAUAGGAUGGGUAUAUAGGACCUCAUGGAUAUCAUGGGUAAACAUGGGAUCUACUCAGAGUACUCAUUUUAGGAAUAGUGAGAGGCUUUGCUAUCCUUGAAACAUGAUUUUCUAGGCAGCAUCAUUCAUGGCCAUUCAUAGGCAGGGAGCAAAAUAAGAAUGAGCCCAGGCCAACUUUCUUUUAAGCAAGUGAGAUAGGAGUUGCUGAUAUGAUUUCCAUUCACA
rnacentral:lncRNA from 1 species